rnacentral:rRNA from 1 species
AUGCCAAAUUAUUUUGUUUCCGGUACAAAUACCAAAUUACUUACGUAUUUUGUGAUGCUUCCCCGUGCUCUUUGCUCUCAUGAAACACCUAUGGGUGAGGCAAUAUAUUUCCACGUGUAUAUAUCGGCAUUGCUGUUUUCAAAAAUUGACAUUGAGGAUCUCUUUUACAUGUUUCUUCUACACCCUGCCGGGGGCUUAAUUGCCUUUCCUAUGAAUGAACAAAUGGCAAGACAUACAAAGCACAGUUCGGCACAUCUGAAUGACAGUUUUUGUACGUUAUACCUUUAUCCAUCUCACAGAUCCACCCUUCUAUCUACUGGAAAAUAUAUCAUUUUUCCUACUGCUAAGGCAAUCUAUCUACACACACUAUAUGGAUUAUUUUUACUUCAAACAGAGUACUCUAUGUAA